GCCAGGUGCGAUAGUGCACGCCUGUAAUCCCAGCGGCCUGGGAGGCUGAGGCAGGAGAAUCGUGAGUUCAAAGCCAGCCUCAGCAAUUUAGCGAGGCCCUAAGCAGUGAGACCCUGUCUCUA
rnacentral:sRNA from 1 species